GCGGUCGUGGUGGAACGGCAGACACGCUAUCUUGAGGGGGUAGUGUCCCAUGGACGUGCGGGUUCAAAUCCCGCCGACCG
rnacentral:tRNA from 1 species